GGACUACAAGGGUAUCUAAUCCUGUUUGCUCCCCACGCUGUCGCGCAUCAGUGUCAGCCACUGCCCAGCAGGCCGCCUUCGCCACCGGUGUUCUUCCGGAUCUCUACGCAUUCCACCGCUACACCCGGAAUUCCGCCUGCCUCUACAGUGCUCAAGCCCAGCAGUAUCCACGGCCGACGCGGAGUUGAGCCCCGCGCUUUCACCACAGACUGACCAGGCCACCUACGCGCCCUUUACGCCCAAUGAUUCCGGACAACGCUCGCACCCUCCGUAUUACCGCGGCUGCUGGCAC
rnacentral:rRNA from 1 species